rnacentral:rRNA from 1 species
AUGAGGCAAUGGUGUCCAAACGAAACGAUCGCGAAAGAUGUAACCGUAUUGAUUGGCAGGACUCCCCUGGUGUACCUGAACAAGGUAGUAACCGGGUGCGAGGCUCGCAUCGCUGCCAAGCUUGAGAUCAUGGGGCCAUGUUCCAGUAUCAAGGAUAGGAUUGGUUACAGCAUGAUCACCGACGCAGAGGAGAAGGGUCUCAUCACUCCAGGAAAGAGUGUGUUGAUCGAGCCUACGGGCGGCAACACCGGCAUCGGGCUGGCCUUCAUGGCGGCCGCCAAGGGGUACAAGCUGAUCGUGACGAUGCCGUCGUCGGUGAGCACGGAGAGAAGGACGGUGCUCAAGGCGUUCGGCGCGGAGGUGGUGCUCACCGACCCGCUCCGCGCCAUGGACGACGUUGUGCGGCGGGCGGAGGAUAUCGCCGCCAAGACGCCCAACUCCUACGUUCUCCAGCAGUUCGAGAACCCUGCAAAUACGAAGGUGCAUUACGAGACGACGGGGCCGGAGAUCUGGAGCGGGACUGCCGGCGCAGUGGAUAUCCUGGUGGCCGGCAUAGGGACUGGGGGCACCAUUACGGGGGCAGGGAAGUACCUCAAGGAGAUGAACCCUGAAAUUCAGAUCUAUGGCGUGGAGCCGUCAGAGUGCGCCGUUUUGUCCGGAGGGAAACCUGGCCCGCACAAAAUCCAAGGUCUCGGGGCCGGUUUCGUCCCUGGAGUCUUGGACGUAAGCAUUCUAGAUGAAGUCUUCCAAAUCACGAACGAGGAAGCCGCGAGCAUGGCGAGGCAGAUCGCGCUGAAGGAAGGGCUUCUUGUCGGGAUGUCAUCGGGCGCGACCGCGGCUGCGGCCAUCAGGGUGGCGCGGAGGGUCGAGAACAGAGGCAAACUCAUCGUCGUUGUGUUCGCCAGCUGCGGAGAGCGCUACCUCUCGUCGUUUCUCUUUGAGUCCAUAAAAAAGGAGGCGGAAAAUAUGGUGUUGGAGCCAUGA